rnacentral:lncRNA from 1 species
GCAGAUCUUAUUGGUCGGGAGAUAUGUCUUGGGUCUUCUGUAAAUCAGGCAUUUAAUGGAAAUUAGUCUCUUGGUUCUUAAAUCCCAUUCUUCUGAAGGUGAAUUGUGGGAUUCUUUAUUUCUUAUUUUCUGGUUCCAUUUUAGAUUGAAAUCCUUUCACAGCUUCGUUCAUAAAGAAAUUCAAAAGCAAACAACCUUGUAUUAGUUUUCACCCUUCAAAUGAAUCAAAGGUUUAAAAAUGUGUCAAUGCCCCGAGCUGGCAAAAGUAUCUAAAUUGUGCAGUUCUUGAGAAUCCUUAGGUGAAAUGUAAAAAAGAUAACUUGCACAGGACCCUUGACAACUAUUUGUUGUUCCAUAUGCUACUUUUCUUUUUUUUCCUUCAGGCUUCAUGGCCAUUACAUGGACAAUGUUACUACCUCUAAUUUAUGAAAGAGAGAAAGAGAAAGAAGGAAGGAAGGUAGGAAGGAAAGAAAGAAAAGAGAAAGAAAGAAAGAGAAAGAAAAGAAGCUGAGACUCCAAAACGCUAAGCUGCUCACUUAGUAAGCGUCAGAGACAGAAUUUGUACCUAGAUCUGCCCAUAGCCUUUGCCUUCAAAACACUGUAACAUACUAGCUCCAUGCUAGCACAAUUUACUAUGUGCAUUAUUUUUACUGUAGCAGUUCUGCAGCCAGGAAUUUAUCCACAGAAAGUUAGACAAGUGCGUGUGAUUUAGGUGGAAAGUAUUUUUUUUUAAUUUAAAUGACUAUCAGUGAGGAAUUGGACAACUAAAAUACAAUCCUUUAGUAAGUCUUAAAUAUAACACAGCUUUGAAAAGGGUAAGAUAGAGCUCUGGCUGUAGAUGUGAAAAGAUGAUUGAGGAUAGGCUGAAUAAAAAAAAUAACAGGCUAUACAUUCAUUUUUUGGUAUGAUCCCAUGUAAUAUAGUUACAUAUGACCCUGUAUGUAUAUAAUUAAUAUAUUUUACAAUAUGUUAACACUCGGAUACAUUGAAAAAGCUUAAGAGAUUAAGCCACAAAUUCAUAAUAUCAGUUACCCAUGGGUUCAAGAGUACCUAUUUGACUCUAUACAUGACUAUGUACAUUUAAGCAAACAUGCCUGAAUGAUUUUCUUUUUUUUUUUUUCUUUUUUCUUUUUACUAGUGUAGGAUAGUUCUGUCUGGGGGUGGGUAGAAUUAGGAUCAAGCUCUUUCUUUCUUAUUGUAUAUGAUUUCCUUGGAUUCUAAACUGGUGUCUGGAGUGAUUUCUCCUUGAAUCCCAUUUCAUGUUUGUUUGCUGCUUUGGGGCUCUCCUGGAAAGCAAUCACUGUGUACCCUAUAGCCAUCGUNNNNNNNNNNNNNNNNNNNNNNNNNNNNNNNGUGAACACUGCACUCCAUCCUGUUUAUGCUUCAUUCACUUUUGUUCAGCAUCAUUUCUGUCUUCCCCUGUGCUUCAGUGAGAUAUAGGUGAGGCCAUAAGGUUGAAAUGUCCCUGGACAGCCUCUGGUUUGGAAAUAGUGAUAAUUGCAAGUGACAUUGAGCAAAUGGCCUUUUGGUUUUCUAAUUCUUGCAAAUGCUAGAAUGUGUGCUUAAUGAACUCAAAAAAUGUUCAAAUAAAUUAAUAAUCACUGUGACAGUGCUAAAAAUGAUGUUUGGAAGCUGACUUUAACCAGAAUAUGACAGAAUAACUGGCAAAGGUACAUUGCUUGUCAGGUCUUUUGCCUCACAGUUAAUAUUUCUUUUUUAUGAUAUAAUUUUUAAAUUUUAUUGACGUAUGGUUGGAUUACAACAUCGUGUUCAUUUCUGCUGUACAGCAAAGUGAUCCAGUUAUAUAUAUGUGUGUGUAUAUAUAUACAUACAUACAUACACACACAUGUUUUUAGUGGAUUUUUUUCCCAUCAUGGUUUAUCUAAGGAUAUUGAAUGUAGCUCCCUGUGCUAUAUAGUGAGACUUUGUUUAUCCCGCCUAUAUAUAACAGUUUGCAUGGGCUAUUCCCAAGCUCCUGAUCUUUCCCUCCCCCAUUCGCCUCCCCUUGGAAACCACUGUCUGCUCUCUGUUUUUGUGAUCAGUUACUAUUUCUUAACAUUGGUGUCACAUUCAGAAGAAGAGGAAAGCUUGCAGAGAAUUCAGAUGGUUCUAUACCCAGAGAGUGCGAUUUCAUUAGAUUGGAGUGGGAUUCAGACUAAUGAUGUGGAUGGCUUACGCAUCUCCUUGGUUAUCUUAGUUUAUAGCUGGGAUUGGAAACCACUGUUCAAACUCUUUUAUCAGAGGGAUUACCUUUUGGAUGAGAUAUUUUAGAGAACAAUUCUCCCAGCUUCCUGCUGGGCCAAUCUUACAUCUUCACUAGAAACAUCUCUUUUCAACCUGUGUCCCUUUCUGUUGGAGUCAACCAACAGUCAACCAAACAUUGAAAAAACUUUGCAUAUGAAGGGUUAUUAGCAGCCUUUCUUUUUAUGUUUUUAUUUAUGCAUUUAUUAGACCAUGCAUUAUUCCUCAAAGAACUGAAGGUUACAUAGACACUUCUAUUAGUGCAAAGUAAAUAGCCUUCCUGAUCCUUUAAUUGAUGUUCUUACCUAUUCAUUCUGGAAAAUUAUUAAUUUUCAAAGCAUGCUUUCAUGUUGCUCACCGUGUACUGGCAUUCUAUUACUUUUUGAGGUUUGCUUCAAUUUUACCAUGUUUGUCAAAGUUCAGGAUCAGAGUCAUUGAAACCUGUUCUAUUCAGCAUUGGCUUCAGAGAUAACAUGGUAGUAUUUUCACUGAAAGAACAACUUGUCUCUCUUAUCUCAAACUUCUUCCUCUGACUCCCCUUCCCUGCCACCAAAAUCAAAAAUAGAAAUAAGAAAGGAAUGUGUAUUAAAUUUUCUGUAAUACACAUUAUCCUUAUAAUCCUCAUUGUCCUUAUUUUGUUAUUUUACCAAUAAUCAGAACAUAUUUUUUGUCUUCUGAAAUGCAUGAUACAAGCACUGCUUUUUUGUACUAUAAAUGAGGAAAUGCUUGUUUUUGUUAAACUAUAUCUGUUUAAGUCAUUAUCACAGCAGCUUAUCACUUUGACAAGCCUACGAUUUACCAUGAAACAACUCUAACUCUCCAAGUUGAAUCUUAAUGACUUUCUUUUAUAUCAAAACAUAAAGCACUUUGACUGAUUGUCAUUUAUGAGCCUUUUGUGUGUGUGUGUGUGGUUAUCAGAGGUAAUCUAGAGUUUAUCUAGAAUUCCCACUCAAACUCUCUGCAGCCAGUCUUUCUAAGUGUGCACAAAACACAAUAAUCGAUUGGAAUCUCAUUCCAAAAAGCAGGAAGUCUGUGUCCCAUUCAACAAAGAUGCUAUUAGCAAAAUUCAUAAGAGCACCACAUCCUUAAUAACCAACAGAUUAUUGGUUCCUCAAGAAGAGUUCCCAGACCAACAGCAUCUGUGCUACCUGGCAACUCAUAAGAAAUGCAGAUUAUUGGGCUCCACCCCAGAUCUAUUGGACAAAACGUAUGAGAGACACUUAGGUAUUAACAGACUGUCCAAGUGAUCCUACUGCACCAUGUAAGUUUGAGUACUGCUGCUCUUUGGAGUGUGAGCUCUCUGAAGGCAGGUGUCAUGUGCCCCUCACCCCUGGGACCCUAGGGAAUCAGUGAGUAAAUGGAAGAAGCUAAGCAGGAGCUGGAAGCCUAUUAACUGACAGCAGACCAAUACCUGCCAAUACCUGUAGGAUCAAUAAUGACAAGAAAUAAGAGCUGGUUUAGGAUUUCAUGAAUAUGCUGCAGCUAUGCCAAAGAAUAAUGUACAAUUUGUUUUCAGAUCCUUUUUUUGGGGGAGGGUAAAUCUUGCCUUGAACUAUACCAUUUUAAGGAAUGAUUUGUAUUAAUAUUAUUACGUAGAAAAAUCCAUAAUAACUAGUAUUUGGCCUUAUAUCAGACCUAAAUCACAGCCAGGGAGUUAACGCCUUUUCCUUUCCGAUAGCUUAUCUGAUCAUGUACAGGUGAAUUAAAAUGAAUGCCAUUUAGCAAAUUGAUAUAAACAAUUGACUUCUUAGAGGAAUACUUUCAAACUUUUUAAAAAAAUAGUUAGAUCCUUUUCUUUAACUGCAAUUUUACCCAAAAAAGAAGUCCUGUAUAUCAAAGAGUUAAAACAGAAUGGCCGUGCUGAGAGGAGGGAGAGGAUAUUGCUACCAGACUUUCUCUGGGCUAUAUUGCAGCCUGUAUGGUUGACGGCUGGGAGUGUGGGGUCAUUGCAGAUGAAAGAAGCAUCAUUUAAAAUACCUUGUAUGAGGAAAACACUUUCUGACCUGUGCAGUUUCAAAUGACAUUUAUGUCAUGUUUUAUACUUUGAGGAGCACUUUUUGCUUUGAAAUCGUUUUAACUGUUGUCAGUAACUGAUGAUUCAUGUCAACUGUGACACUACUAGGCCUGCUUUUAGAAAUCUGAAUAUCAGAGAUAUUCCUGAAACAUUCCUUCCUCUGACCCUUACUGUUGAAAUGAUAAGUGUAAAUAUAUACACACACACAUAUAUAUGUUUGUGUGUGUAUAUAUAUUUUUUCUUUUUUCCUAUAUUCUUCUUUCUUCUUUGUUUUUUUUUGUUUUUUUUUUUUUUUUGCUUUUUAGGGCUACAUGUAUAGCAUAUGGAUGGAAGUUCCCAGGCUUGGGGUCAAAUCAGAGCUGCUGCUGCUGCCCUACACCACAACCACAACACAGGAUCUGAGCCACAUCUGUAACCUAUCCCACAGCUCACAAUGCUGGAUCCUCAACCCAUUGAACAAGGCCAGGGAUCAAACCUGCAUCCUCAUGGAUACUAGUCAGAUUCAUUACCACUCUGCCACAAUGGUAAGUCCUUCAUAGAUUUUUCUAUUUUCCAGUAUCAAAUGAAAAGCUAUAUCACUUGGCCAUUUUUCUGCCUAAGUCCUUAGCAACUACAUGUGUGGCAAAUAAAAAGCAAAUCCUGACUCAGGAAGGAGAGACUUCAUUUGAGAGGUUAUUGAGAGAGGGGGAAAAUGACUAUUGCACCAGGAAGAGGAAGGCCAUUGCAACAUCGAGAAUGCUCAGACUCAUAUGAGACCUGCAAGCAUGGCAAAGUUAGGCAGAAAGAGGCUUUUCUUUUAUAUGAAGGAGUAAACAAGGCUAUAAAGAACUCGGUGUAUGAAAUGUGAUAAAUGAGAUAAACAGAUUGGGGGGUGGCCUGAUCAGACUGUAAAUCAGGAAUGUCUUACCCAGAAGUGGGCCCACUCUUGGGAGCAGUUGUAAAAGAAAUUCUCUGUGUUGGCUCAGGCUAAAAGUAGGCCAAUGUGCAGGGACCUCAGGGAAGAAGAUCACCAAAGUUUGGUUAACAAACAUUAACCAAAUCUGAUUGAUUGGUGAAGACAAAACCAUACAGCUAAUUGUUUAUGAGGCAAAAACUGGGAAUUUGAAGUGUCUGUGUCUGGUCUUAUAGGCAAACAUGAAGACAUCCUUGACUCUUAUCUGUCAUGUAGGGAGGGGUGAUUCUUUAUAAGAAGGUGACUCUCAGAACACAAAAACUGUGAGAUGUGGAAUUUCUUAAUUCAUCACUUUUUUCCAGAAUCACAGGGCUUGGAAAAAAAUUUACAUGGUUAUGUCAUAUACAGCAUCUUAAUUAUGUCCCAUUAAGUAAGAAGCAUAAGGCUUUGCCAUUUUAUAGUUGAAGAAGCUGAAGUUCAGGGGGAUUAAACAGUAUGCUUGACAUCACAAUAAAAAAAAAAAAAAA